rnacentral:rRNA from 1 species
GACGAACGCUGGCGGCGUGCUUAACACAUGCAAGUCGAACGGAAAGGCUCCAUCUUUCUGGAGUACUCGAGUGGCGAACGGGUGAGUAACACGUGGGUAAUCUGCCCUUCACUCUGGGAUAAGCCUGGGAAACUGGUUCUAAUACUUGAUAUGACCUUUCUCCUUAUGGUGUUUUGUGGAAAGUUUUUCGGUUUAGGAUGGGCCCGAGGCCUUUCAUCUUGUUGGUGGGGUGAUGGACUACCAAGGCGACGACGGGUAGCCGGCCUGAGAGGGUGAUCGGCGACAUUGGGACUGAGAUACGGCCCAGACUCCUACGGGAGGCAGCAGUGGGGAAUAUUGCAAAAUGGGCGGAAGCCUGAUGCAGAGACGCCGCGUGAGGGAUGACGGCCUUCGGGUUGUAAACCUCUUUAAGCAGGGACGAAGAGUAAGUGACGGUACCUGCAGAAGAAGCACCGGCUAACUAUGUG